rnacentral:lncRNA from 1 species
UUUUUUUUUUUUUUUUUUUUGAGGAGCCAAGUGAUGUAGUGUGGUCAAAUUCUAUUCAAUUGGAAGCAAAAGGUGAGUUUUUAAGAAAAAUGAAGGAACAUAUUAGUCAGGAUUGCAGGGGCCAAGUGUAUUUGCUGUAUGGAAAAUACAGUCACAGGGGCACGCCAGCAGAGCAUAGCUUAGCUGGGACCCAUGGAGUCAUUUGAAUCUGGAAUCUGCUAAUUCUUCUGAACAAUGUGAAUCCCUGUGUCUUUAAUACUUUAUUAUGUGUGAAAAUGAUGUAUUUUAUUGAGGCCUUGUACCUAAUUUUGGAUUUCUAUUUUACAUUUAAAAGAAGAACACUUAUAUAACUUUAGACCCUAUAAUAUCCAGAAACAUAGAUUUAAGAGGUAAAAAUAAAAAUGAGAACGUGACUUUAAAAUUAUGGAUUUUUCAUAGAACAAAAUAUUUAGAUUUUAAUGAGUGAAUGAAUGAACAUUGUUUUAUUAAGUAGACAUGACUCAUCACAAUCACUUUUUUCAAUGUGUGACUUUCCAGAAACAUGUGCUUGAAGCUCUAUUUUGUGUUUUGUUUAGUAUUGAAGCUUAAUGGCUGAGAAAAUCCAACAAGGCUCAAGAGUCUAAAGGGCAAAAGCCCACUGUAAGUGAGAUCUACUAAGGGAAGGCACUGACUGUCAAUCAAAGCCAGUUAUGCAAAGAGCCCUCACCCUGGCCCAGCUGAUUAACCUGCUCGUUUUUUUAGGUGGUACACUUAUGCACUCAGUACAUGCAUUCAAAACUCCUUGUUUUGGAAUGUUUUUAAGUAGAUCAUACAAUUCUACCUAAUUUAUUCUGACUAGGACAUACAGACUGUUUUAGAGUCUGCUGAUCUUUAUCAUCUGGUAAGAGGGCCACAAAAUGCCUUCAUAUUUGUUUUUCUAAUGGUCUUUCCAUGGAGCAAGUUACUUUAGGAAAGCAACAGAUUUCUCAUGAGCUAUUCAAAUGUCAUUUUGAAAGAUACAUGUUUGUCUCUGAAGAUACAUGUGUGCUCUCUGAAAAUAUUGACUAGGGGCAUACUUACCUGGUAAUUAUCUUCUUCCCAGGAAAUUGUAGCCUGUUUAUAGUAGUUGUCAUUUUACAAUAGAUAAGUGCACACUUUAUAUUUAAAAAUAAUUUUUACAUGUACUUGUACUUCUGCACUCAAGGCUGCAUUUAUACAAUAUUUAUGGAACACGCACGGAAAUUGGAAUCAGAGCAUGCAGGAGUUGUUAGUUGUCUCUUCCUGGAUAGGUUCCAGGGCUCAAACGCAAGUCAUCAGGCUGUGUGGCAAGAACUUUUACCCAAUGCAUCAUCUCACUGGCCCUAACUCACUAGCUAUUAAAGGCUAGUUACCAUCUAUAAAGU